rnacentral:misc_RNA from 1 species
GAUGAAGAACGUAGCGAAAUGCGAUACGUAAUGUGAAUUGCAGAAUUCAGUGAAUCAUCGAGUCUUUGAACGCACAUUGCGCCCCCUGGUAUUCCGGGGGGCAUGCCUGUCCGAGCGUCAUUGCUGCCCUCAAGCACGGCUUGUGUGUUGGGCCUCCGUCCUCCUCCCGGGGGACGGGCCCGAAAGGCAGCGGCGGCACUGCGUCCGGUCCUCGAGCGUAUGGGGCUUCGUCACCCGCUCUUGUAGGCCCGGCCGGCGCUUGCCGACACAUCAAUCUUUUUUCCAGGUUGACCUCGGAUCAGGUAGGGAUACCCGCUGAACUUAAGCAUAUCAAUAAGCGGAGGA